rnacentral:lncRNA from 1 species
AUUUGGCCAUGGGGGUGUUCAAAAUCAAAUUUCAAGGGAAUGAAAUUUUUUUUACCUUUUUUGGCAGUAAGAGGUGGCUCUAGCGCAGCGCGCAGGCGGCGAUCGGCUUCCUUCUCCACCAGCUGGUUCUUCUUCUCCGGCGGGGGGCUGGCGGCAGGGUUAGGGUUCGGUGUGAAGUGAAGUAUUUAUAUCUGUCUCCCUUUAAUCUUAGCCAUCCAUCGUGUUUAAUCUCAACUGUCUGAUCGCGUUUAAAGAGAAAAUGAAUCUGAAUCGUUCAUCACG